GUAAAUCAAUAACUGUCAAUAUGUGUUGGAGAUAAGUUCAAUAUAAGUUACACAUAGGUUCAAAGCACGUUACUCAUUGGUUAGAAAUAAGUUUUGGAUACGCUAGACAUUAUCUUGGUGUAUUUCGAGUUAUGAGUAA